rnacentral:rRNA from 1 species
GCAUAUCAAUAAGCGGAGGAAAAGAAACUAACAAGGAUUCCCCUAGUAACGGCGAGCGAAGCGGGAAGAGCUCAAAUUUGAAAGCUGGCACCUCCGGUGUCCGCGUUGUAAUCUCGAGACGUGUUUUCCGUGCGGCUCUAUGGACAAGUCCCUUGGAAUAGGGCAUCGUAGAGGGUGAGAAUCCCGUACUUGCCAUGGAAGAACCGUGCUUUGCGAUACACGCUCUAAGAGUCGAGUUGUUUGGGAUUGCAGCUCAAAAUGGGUGGUAGACUCCAUCUAAAGCUAAAUAUCGGGGAGAGACCGAUAGCGAACAAGUACCGUGAGGGAAAGAUGAAAAGCACUUUGGAAAGAGAGUUAAAAGUACGUGAAAUUGUCGAAAGGGAAGCACUUGAAGUCAGCCAUGCUGCUUGAGACUCAGCCUGGCCUUUGGGCUUGGUGUAUUUCUCGGUGGCAAGCCAGCAUUGGUUUGGGUCGUCGGAGAAGCGCAUAGGGAAUGUAGCGUUUCCGGACGUGUUAUAGCCUUAUGCAGGAUACGACGACCUGGAUCAAGGAACGCAGUGUGCCCUCUGGGCGGGUCUUCGGACACCUUCACACUUAGGAUGCUGGCGUAAUGGCUUUAAGUGGCCCGUCUUGAAACACGGACC